UAGGGAAUCUUCCGCAAUGGACGAAAGUCUGACGGAGCAACGCCGCGUGAGUGAAGAAGGAUUUCGGUUCGUAAAACUCUGUUGUUAGGGAAGAAAAAAUGUAUAGUAACUAUAUACAAAAGAGACGGUACCUAACCAGAAAGCCAUGGCUAACUACGUGCCAGCAGCCGCGGUAAUACGUAGGUGGCAAGCGUUGUCCGGAAUUAUUGGGCGUAAAGCGCGCGCAGGUGGUUUAGAAAGUCUGAUGUGAAAGCCCACGGCUCAACCGAAGAGGGUCAAUGGAAACUAAUAAACUUGAGUGCAGGAGAGAAAAGUGGAAUUCCUAGUGUAGCGGUGAAAUGCGUAGAGAUUAGGAGGAACACCGGUGGCGAAAGCGGCUUUUUAGCCUGCAACUGACACUGAGGUGCGAAAGCGUGGGGAGCAAACAGG
rnacentral:rRNA from 1 species